AUCCAGCUAACGAGCCUCAAAUAGGACGAAACGCACGUCCUGGAU
rfam:Schistosoma haematobium scaffold374_4, whole genome shotgun sequence.